AGCAGCCAAGGGGGAAGGAGGUGUCCUAGAGGAAGCUAAGUGAAGAGGUGUGACAGCCCAUUCAGCUCCUGGAGCCCAUUGGAUCUGUGGAACGAACCUGUUUCAAGGACCAGAUGUCAUGGCUGUUUCACAAAAGAAGGUAUGGGGGGAAGAAGAAGCCCCCACACAAUUGACAGAGAUAAUCCCCAGUAUAUCAGCCACUGCUUCUGUUUUGCA